AAAAAGUCUUGCUAACGCAGACAGUGGAUGCCUAGGUAUAAGUUGCCGAAGAAGGACGUAGUUGGUCGCGAUAGACGCCGGUUAGAUGCCAACAAUCUUUAACCCGGCGGUGUCCGAAUGGGGAAACCCGGCCCAGUUCAUACUGGGUCACUCCGUGGUGAAGGUAUCCUGCAUUUUUUGCAUGAAUUGGGAAUUUAAAAUUAUAAAUUCCUGUGGCUCGUGCACGAAGUGCAGGAUAUAUAGCCAUGGGUGUGGAUACCACCCGAACUGAAACAUCUAAGUAGGGUGAGGAAGAGAAAUUAAUCAAGAUUCCGUCAGUAGCGGAGAGCGAAAUCGGAACAGCCCAAAUCUCACUGUUCCUUCGGGAAUGGUGAGAGGUUGUGGGACCUCAAUGUGGGAUUAAUGUUUGAUAGCGGAAUGAUCUGGAAUGUUCAACCAAAGGGAGUGAAAGUCUCGUACGCGAAAUUAAACAUUACCCUAGAGGUAUCCCGAGUACCUCGGUGCAAAUACUCCGAGGGAAUCUGGGGGAACCAUCCUCCAAGGCUAAAUACAACUUAUGACCGAUAGUGAACUAGUACCGCGAGGGAAAGGUGAAAAGAAGGGCGGGACGCCCAGUGAAAUAGAAACUGAAACUGUUUGCGAACAAACCGAUAGAGCCCCGUUACAAUUUUUACAAAUAUCUUUGGAAAUACCGAAGUGCCAGCCGAGAGGCGCCUUCGGCUUAUGCUAAUAAAGCUCCAAAGACUUUGCUGGAAUUGUAACGGGGUGAUAUCGUGCCUAUUGAAGAAUGAGCCGGCGAGUAAUCAUCCUUUCUUUAGUCUAAACCCGCCAAGCGGGUGGAGGCGCAGGGAAACCGAGUCUGAACAGGGCGAACAAAAAGAAAGUGUGGUUGACCCGAAACCAAGUGAUCUAUCCAUGAGCAGGGUGAGCCCCGAUGAAAAUCGGGGGGAGGCCCGAACCCGUAUCAGGUACAAUUGGUUGGGAUGACUUGUGGAUAGCGGUAAAAUGCCAAUCGAACUUGGAGAUAGCUGGUUCUCCCCGAAAGAUCUUUGGGGAUCGCCGUGAGGGAAAUUUUUAGUGGGGUAGAGCUCUGAAUGGGACAUUGAGGGUAACUGAGAUGUCUCAAUCAAACUUCCAAAUACGCUAAAAGGAACCCUCAUGAGUCAGCCGCGGAGGGCUAAGCUUCCGCGACGAAAGGGAAACAACCCAGACUCUCGGCUAAGGCCUCUAAAUCUUGGUUAAGUUGAUAAGGAAGUCUUUGUCCAUAGACAGCCAGGAGGUUGGCUUAGAAGCAGCCACCCUUUAAAGAUAGCGUAACAGCUCACUGGUCGACUUGCCCCGCCUUUGGCGGGGUAGGAUGAAGGCGCCUAAAAUUUACGAGGAUUAAACCAAGUGCCGAAGCUAGAGAUACUCACGCUCUGCGUGAGUGUGGUAGGGGAGCGCCCCGUCAGCAGUGAAGUCAAACUGUAAAGUUUGGUGGAGCGGACGGGGGUGAGAAUGCCGGCAUAAGUAGCAAGCAAGAGCCGUGAGAAUCGGCUCCGUCGAACACCCAAGGUUUCCGUCGCUAUGAUUAUCAACGACGGGUUAGUCGGUACCUAAGGCGAGGCCAAAAUGGCGUAGUCGAUGGACAAGUGGUUAAUAUUCCACUACUUUUUUUAAAUCGCUUCACCGCAAGGUGCAUGCGUAAGCAUGACUAACUGGGGCCUGACUGGAGUGGAUGUUUCAAUCCCGCAGACAAAUGCGGGUGCAAGCAUUUAGAUAGGAUAUGUCGGAAAAACCGCAAAUCUGAUUAAUCGAGAUGUGAUGCAAAGUUGAGCGAGAGCUCGGCGAUUUGGACGCAUUCAGUUCGUAAAAAAAGGGUCGCAGUGAGAUUCAAAGAAAGCCGUACCGCAAACCGAAUCAGGUGGGUUGGUAGAGAAUACCAAGACGCGCGGGAGAAGGAUCCUUAAGGAAUUCGGCAAAAAAACUACCCGUAACUUCGGGAGAUGGGUUGCCCCGCCCCUAUUCUGUGCAAGGUUAUUGAGUAUCAACUAUUGGAAGACGAAGUCGCCUUCGGCUGCCUUGGUUGGUAAAUCAUAUGCUUUGUUUGGAAUAGGGGCGGGGUUGCAACUAAAGUCUGCUAGUCGACUGUUUAGCAAAAACACAGGUCCGUGCUAAAGUGAAAACUUAGGUAUACGGGCCGACGCUUGCCCAGUGCCGGUAAGUUAAGGGGAUGGGUGGUACGUUCAUGCGCAAGCACUGAAUGUACUGCUUUGAACUGAAGCUCCGGUAAACGGCCGCAGUAACUAUAACUGUGCUACGGUGAUAUUCGCUGCCGUAGAGAAAUUCUGCUAUAUGCUGGAAAACCUGGAGUAUUCCACACUAGUUGACUUCGGAUAGUUUUCGGAUUAUUCUGAAGACAACUAAUAACGUGAUGGGUGCAGGCAAUCAGCAGGAAAGACUUGAGACAAUUGGAUGGGUUGUUGGAUUUAUAGACGGAGAAGGCUGUUUUUCAGUUUCUCUUCAUAAAAAUCCCACAACUAGACUUGGCUGGCAAGUGAUGCCAGAAUUUGUAGCGACGCAGGGUGAGAAGAGUAUUCUUGCCUUAGAAAAGCUAAAAACUUUUUUUUGGAUGUGGUCGAAUAUUUGUGAAUCGUAGAUACGAUAAUCACAAUGAGAAUCUUUACAGAUUCUGUGUUCGGUCAUUUUCCGAUUUAAGAGGAAUUAUUAUUCCUUUCUUUAACGAGCACAAGCUCUAGACUUCUAAAGUCAAAGACUUUGAGAUUUUUUCUCAAAUAAUAGAUUUGAUGAAGAAUAAGGAGCAUUUAACUCAAGAAGGGAUUAAGAAAAUAACAGCUUUAGCUACAAAUAUGAAUACUAAGAAAAGGAAAAGAUUGUUUCAAGAAUCCUCAGAGACCAUACGCAGAAGUACAUUCAGUUGACAUGAAUGUACAAGAUAUGGUUCGAUCUGCAUAGCGAUAUGCAGGAUCUAGGUUUAAGGAGCCUAGUAUUAACAAAAAUGAGCGAAGUUCCUUGUCGGGUAAGUUCCGACGUGCACGAAAAGCGUAACGAGCUAGCAACUGUCUUGAGGAUUCACCCGGUGAAUUUGCGAUGGCUGUGUAGACGCGGCCUACUCCCACCAGGACAAGAAGACCCCGUGGAGCUUUACUGUAGUUUGGUAUUGGUUUGUGCAUUUUAAUUGUCUAGAGUAGGAGGGACCCCUUCGGGGGAACGAUGUAACACCUCCCUUUGGAAUGUGGCAAAUCUUACUUGGUCCCGAUGAAGACUCGGGAGAGGAAAGUGCUAGAUGGACAGUUUUACUGGGGCGGUACCUUGCCAAAAAGUAACGCAAGGGCACAAAGGUCAGCUUGGCACGGAUGGAAAUCGUGCUUUAAGCGUAAAGGUAUAAGCUGGCUUGACUGCGACACCGACGGGUGGAGCAGGUACGAAAGUAGGUCUUAGUGAUCCUCCGAUCCCGCAUGGUGUGGGACGGAGCUUACCGGAUAAAAGCUACCCCGGGGAUAACAGAGUGGUCGCGCCCAAGAGUCCAUAUCGACGGCGCGGUUCGCUACCUCGAUGUCGGCUCAGCGCAUCCUGGGGCUGAAGAAGGUCCCAAGGGUCGGUCUGUUCGCCCGUUAAAGCGCUACGUGAGCUGGGUUCAGAACGUCGUAAGACAGUUGAGCUAUAGGAUAUUUAUAGCUGACAAUGAGCUGUCUCCUAUUGUACGAUAAUGAACCUACUAAAUGAACAAUAGUAAAGAGGAUUCUGUUAAUUAUAGGUCUCGACCCUAGUCGAGAAUAAAUCUGGCUGUAUGCUGGAAAAUCUUGUUAAAUGGUAAAGUACUGGUAUGCAAUUUGUGUACUAGUGAAAAUCUUUACCCUGAGAUUAUCAGCAGGAAAGAUCCCGCUUAUCGGGAAAUCCUCACAGGCCAUACGCCAGAGUACGUUCAAUUUAUAUGUAUGAAUGUACAAGAUAUGGUCGGACCCUCAUGGUGACAUGAGGAGCUAGCGAAAACAAGAAAUCGGCUAGCCAUUGAUUUUGUAACAAUAAUGUCGGACUCAAUCCGGUGGGAGCAUACGAGUUUUGAAGGGAUCUGGCCUCAGUACGAGAGGACCAGGCUGGGGGAAUCUCUGGUGUGCCGGUUGUGACGUCAGUCGCAACGCCGGGUAGCUACAUUCCCUGGUGAUAACCGCUGAAAGCAUCUAAGUGGGAAGCCCACCCUAAGAUGAGAACUCGGGCGUGCAUAGCACAGAGGAUAAGAGGAAAAUACUCGUAUCUUCCGCGCUGUGCGCGCGAAGACCCCCGCGAAAAGAGCGGGUAUAGCCGGCAAGAUGUGGAAGCCCCGUAAGGGGUUAAGCAUACUUUGCGCGGAUCGGUCAAAAAGACUUUUUUA
rfam:Candidatus Woesebacteria bacterium GWB1_43_5 gwb1_scaffold_4869, whole genome shotgun sequence.